GGAGGACCCCGGGUUCAGAGCAGCGUGGAGUUGGGAGAUGGGACACGCCGAGUGCAAUCUAUCAGGCUCCCGAAAAGGCAAUCUUCCUCUUCUAAAAUGGGAGUAUUAAGGAAAGUGUCAGAUCCAACAAAACACUGUUUACAUGCACAGUUCUUUAAAAUCUUUGUAGUGUAAGUAGCACACUGCAAAUAAGUUUGUUUUUUCAUAAAUGUUUCAACUUUGCAACUGUUUACAUAUUUAUUCUUUAUAUUUGUGUGAUGCUUCACUUUUUCCAUGUUGCAUAAAUAUGAACAAAGGAUUUGUUAAGGCACUGAGGACAGUUGAUCCAAAGACUGAAGGUUAAUGUCCAUUUUAUUUUUAACUCUGGUAUUUUAUUUUGUGUUUUAUUUUGUGUAAUGUGUAUAUUUGUGUUUAUUUAUUUCUAAUGCCAAACUGCACUACAUUUUUAUUUAUAUUUUAGAAGUGUUCAUUUUAUUGUGUGAUAACAUUAAUCAUUGAUACUGAGCAAUUUGCACUGAAGCCACUUUUCAAUUUACAGUUUUACAGUUUGAUUUGUUUACAAAAUCUCACUCAGGUUACGUUUUGAUAUUGUAUUUUUUGUGUGCAAUUUAAAGUUUUAUUGUGUGAUAACAUUAAUCUUUGAUACUGAGCAAUUUGCACUGAAGCCACUUUUCAAUUUACAGUUUUACAGUUUGAUUUGUUUACAAAAUGUCACUCAGGUUACGUUUUGAUAUUGUAUUUUUCUGUGUGCAAUUUAAAGUUAAAUAAAUGUUAAGAGUUCUACUA